GCUGUACCCACAGGCACAUGACGGUCUGCACCCAGGCCAGGGCUCAGUGAGGAGCCGGAGUGUCCCGGCCUGCCUGGACUCCAGCCGGGACCUCCCACAUGAGGCUCAUUCAUCUAUGCCCAGGAUUCUCAAAGAACCCCGGCCCCAGCCUGCUCUCUGUCAUGUGCUGAGCCCCAAGCUUACCCAUGCCUCCUGCCGUGGGGACCAGAGAAUGAGAAGACCACCAGGGAGACCCGCCCUGGAGACCAUGGUGUGCUGCUGACUCACGAGAAUGACAUCACCAAGUGUGCCCUCUGUCCUGUCACUUGGAGCUCCUGGAAGCACAGAAUGUCCCUCAGCCUGGACACUGCCCCUGGCCUGGGGAGGUAGAUGCUCCCCACCUCCCCUCCUGCCCUAGUGCAGAGGAAAGAAGAUCAAAUCUGGAGUCAGCAGACAUAGGAGUCUAAUCCCUGGUUCUGAUAUAUCUAGGCAGUCAUUGCCUUAGCCACACUCAGCCUUAAUCUCCUGAUCUGCAAAAUGGGGAGAACCACACUAACUUUGCAGUUUGCGGUGAGAGUCAAGGAAACCCACGUGAGAAGUGUCUGGCACUGUGCCUCGCAUGUAGAGCCAUUUGACAAGCUCUUGUUGAACAAAUGCUACACAUGAACACAUGGGCUGUGUCCUGAAGCUGGAUGUGCAGUCUUGAAGGAAUCCUACGCUUCAUGAAUGAGGAUUUGACAUCUGGCAGAGGUCUUUAUGAACACAUUUAUGAUCAUCCUUCAAAGCAACCACAUGAAAUGGGCCAGGGGCUUGUUCUCUUUUAGCAGACAGACGGGUUGAGUCACCACAAGAUGCUGUUAUGGUUUAAAUGUGUGGAGCUAUAUAUAUACAUACACACAUACACAUGUAUAUAUCAAUCAAGCUAUACUUAUCCCCAAUAACAGAGAGGAAAAAUAUAUUAUUAGAAUAAGAGCCGCAUAUUUUGGAAAACUUACCAUGUGCCAGAGACUGUUCUAAUUAUUUUAUAAACAUGUCUCUUGUGGUUUUCAAGAUAACUAUAGAAGGUAACUAUUAUUACUUUUUAACAAAUGAAAGCAAACCUCAGGUUAAGUGACUGGCCCAAGGUCACACAGCAAGCAGUGACAGAGCUAAGUUGCGCUGGCUCUAAAGACCAUGUGUUAUCAACAGCGUCCUCCUGCCUUCUUAUGAAAUGGAAUCCAUAUCAAACUGCUAAGCUUUGUUUUUAGCAAAUAACAUGACUGUCUGGGCUGUGGGCUUAAGGAACAGUGAGUUUGGGGGCAAAGGUCACCCUCUAAUAGUGCUUCAUAAUAUUUCUCCCAGAGAAAGACUCUGGAGCCAGGCAGAUCUGGAUCCAGAUUCCAGUUCUGCCACUUCCUAGCUGUGUCCUCUCACUGAGCUCUCAGAGGCCUCCUUGGCCCGCAUGCUCAGUGGAGUGUCUGGUUGGCCCCGCAGCCCUUGUGUCCAGAUCUGCUGGGCGACACAGUGCCUGGCUGUGCCCUGCAGAGGCUUUCCUGUCCCUGGCUCCCAUGCUUCCCCUGAGGAGAGCAGGCGAUGGGUGUCAGCUUAUGUGAGCCCUUUGGUUGCAUGGAUCGGGUGAAAAACAGACAGAGCUGAAGAAUUUGAACUGAGAUGUCAAUUGUGGAGCAGGAUUACUCAUAGCAGCCACCGCCCACUAGGCCAGAACACCUUCGUUUAAACAAACCAACAUCCCAGGGGACAGUGCCUGUUGAGCAAGCUGCUGAGAGCCCUUCACUAGUGCUGAGUCCUCAGGCCUGCAGGGGACACUCCACAUCUGACCCUGCAGGAGAGCGGUGUCCAGGAGCAGGCACCUCAGAUCCAUCCAAGUCACACAGGGAGGCCAGAAGGGCAGCGGGGACACUGAACGCUCUACACGUCCUGAGGUCCCUGACCUCAUAGGCUGGAGGGGAGCAUUUGCUUUGUCUUGUGGAAAGUCCCCAAGUGGAUGGGCUAACAAUCGAUUCCAGUUGCACCCACGCUGCUAACUCUGGCCAUGUUUCCUAUACUUCCGUUCCUGUGAUCCAUCUCUUGCCCCUUCCAGAUCAGACAGUGACCUCCCGGGCCUCCUGGGGAUGCAGUUGUCCUCCCUGCACUCAGAUCUGGAGCUGCUGCUUCCUAGCGGAGGAGUCAGCCUACCGAGCCAGGCCGUUGUCAAGCCCUGAGCCCUCCCCACUUCCGCCUCUGCCCGCUUUCCUGUCCCAGCUGUGAGCCUCUCCGGGGACUCAUUUAAACUGAAGACAAUUGCCUCAGAUAAAGAACAACUGGCCUCCUCCCUAUGUGGCUAAAAUUAUCAAAAACCGAAGAGGGCGUUGCUGACCUCAGCCUUCCCCAGCCUUUCUCCUGCCUUGGUCCACUUGAAUAUCCCUCUGGGAGCCUGUGACAGCUGCCUACGUGGGACC
rnacentral:lncRNA from 1 species